rnacentral:rRNA from 1 species
UCUCUCUCUCUCUCUCUCUCUCUGCUUACAAUAAUGCUCUCCUUGAUAGAAAUGGCGGAGCGGACGGACUUGCGGGGAGCCAAGGACGUGGAAGGGGCUAGCGCGCUGCAUCUGGCUGCCGACAAGGGUUGCCUGGAGUGCUGCAAGUUCUUGAUAGAGGAAGUAGGGCUUGGUGUCAACUCAGCGACCACCACAGGUAAGACACCUUUGAGCUGCGCUCUAUACGCCGGGAACGCACAGAUUAUGAAGUACCUUAUCGAUCAUGGCGCUAACCCAAAAAAGGCGACUGCCCAAGGCUUGACGAUGCUGCACAUUGCAGCUGGCAGAGGGCUAUGCGAGCCUUUAGAGCUGCUGCUGUCCCAAGGAAUUCCUGUGAACAUUAUGCUCGUGGUUUAUGUCGGGACGCCAUUGCAUGCGGCUGCUUCUAGGGGGCAGCAUCAGGCUAUGAAGAUUCUGCUGGAGCAUGGUGCUGAUCCCAACAUACUUAUGGAUGAUAACGUAUCACCACUCAUGCUGGCAUGCUGUGAGAAAUCUCUCAAAUGCAUGAGGCUACUGAUUGAGGCUGGUGCUGAUGUCAACGGUAACUCAUACCGCGGGCCGACUCCCCUAACGUAUGCAGUGGAGUCUGGCUGGACAGAUAUUGUCAAGUUCUUGCUUGAGGCUGGGGCAGACCCUAAUAUUCCUGCCGAGGGUGGGGAUAUUCCAAUCAAAUUAGCAGCAAAGUGUGGUCGACGUGACCUUGUCAAAAUUCUGUUUUCCAAGACAAGACAAGUUCCAUCCUUGCCAUAUUGGACAGUUGAUGGGAUAAUUAGAACGAUGGAAUCUCCACUUAUCAGACGUCAGGAUCCAGUUCCUGGAGAAGGAAAAAUAACUGCUUUGAAGUCACGAGGGAGGGCUGCAUUUGCAAAGGAGGACUACCAUGCCGCACUGUACUUCUUUGGACGGGUGAUUGAGAUAGACCCAUCUGAUGCCACCAUGUUUUCCAACCGGAGCGCUUGCUGGCUGCAGAUGAGGGAAUGGGAAAGAGCCUUGUCAGAUGCUCAAUACUGCAGAAAACUUCAGCCUGAUUGGUGCAAGGGAUGGUUCCGUGAGGGUACAGCUCUCACAUUCAUGGAGAAUUACCAAGGAGCAGCUGAUGCAUUCCAGGAAGCACUGAAACGUGAACCUGAGAGCGACGAGAUCAAGAAAGCUCUAGGGUAA